UUGCUUGACAUUUUCGUCUUUUUUUGAUGUUGCUGGUAGAUCAUUAGAAUUUAGGUGUAAAAAGCAGAAAAAAAAAGAUUUUACGUAUAGAUGAAGUCAUUCGGCUUGUGGUUUACUAGUUUUGAAUCUAAGAGAUUUUAUUACUGACUAAGCGUAAUCACGCGGUAGUGCCGAAGUGUGCAAAAAAGUAAAAAUAUAAGAUAGUACCGUUUUCGAAAUCUUCCAAUACUAGAACAUCACAAUAACGGGAUUUUAAAAAAAAACAAUUUGAAGCAUAAAAUGAGGUACCCCAAAGACGAACUGAGAAUGUUUGCGGCAGUAUCACUCCUAGUAGUUAAUCUGGUAAUGAUUGUGCAGGCAACUCCAAUCGCGGAAAAUCAAACGGCUUCAGAACCGGCUAAGGAAAAUACAGAGUCCAAGACGAGUAUCGCUGAUCGAACAUAUUUUCAAAACAAAAGUAGAUUUAAUUUUUUUGAAUCAUGCGAAGGAAAUGUUACGUAUCUAAAUCAGUUGACUUGUGAAUUGUACAUCAAUCUUACUACGACGUUGAGUGAACAAAUGAAGUUAUCUAUUUCUUCAAUCGAAAAUAUGAUAUCAGAAAUUGACAAAACAGAUACUGUUUGUGGCAAUAUUUCGGAUGUAUUUGAACAGAUCGACAAACUGGAUUUUGAUAUUGGUUUCAUUAAAAAUGAGCAGGAGCAGAAAAAACGCAACAGUUUCAAUAAGCUUUGCCCUGUUGUAUGUGUCGAUAUGGUAAACGAAACUACAACAGGAGUGAAACCGAUUUGUCGUAUGUUACUCUGGGGUUUCCAACAAUUGGUGUUGGUUGAUACAAAAGUUCCUAAGGACACAAAUGAUAAACCAGCGAAAUUGGAGCAACAACCGGAAAAUCAAUACGACCACAAUAAUGCAGAGGCGAAUGCUAAUCUCAGCAAUGGUAAUCGCGAGGCGAACGCGUCAUCUAAUAAAAACGACACUAACAAAAGUUUGAUUAGACCAGAUAUCAGCAAGCAAAAAACAAUAUCAGCUGCCAAGCCGCAGCCUUCGAUUCAGUCCCUUCCAAUCAAAGAUAAACCUCAGAUUGAUGAUGCACUGGAUAAUAUAGAGGACGAGAAAGAAAAGGAGAAUAGUGACAAUAUAGGAAAUGAAGCGUUCGACACACAGGGGGAUGAUGUGGAUCGCAAUGAGUAUACCGAAGAGCAAAAUACCGAUGAUGGUGAAAAUUCUGUAGAUGAACCGCAUCCGGAACAACAGAAACUGUUGCCUGGACCGAAUGAUAGUAUUUUGGACGAUGUACAACAGCAGAUUAUUCAUGAAGAUCCGUUCUUCGAAGAAAGGGACUCGAAUUUUUUUUCGUAUUUCUUACUUCUUAUGUUCGUUUGCAUUCUAUGCUACGUUGCGUAUCACAACAAAACAAAACUAUUCGCAUUGCUGUUGGAAGGCCGAAGAGCGAACUCUGGCCGAGGUGGAUUCAGCAAAGGUCGAAAGCAUACCGCCGCAUAUCGAAAGUUAGAUUCGAACCUUGAAGAAGCGAUCACUUCUGGCGUGGCAACGAAUAACCGCUCGCCGUCGCAGAUUAUCUAUUAGACUGUAGAACUAUGCACCGCUGGUCAAUGCUUGAACCAUCGGAUACAGUGAAACAUUUUCCGCGAUAUCAGGGUGUUAUGCUCAACAGCUUCCUGUUCUGAGUUGGAAGUCAUAUUUUUGGUUGAUGCAAGCAAGUGGUUUGUUACAUUCAGUACACCAGAAGAGCAAUCAAAAUGUACAUAAGAGAUAGAAUAUAAAUCAUCGUUAAACGCUGCUCAGUGCAUCGCUCGUACGAUUAAACUGUUCUACGAGUUCAUCUACAUCGCACGAUUCUUUAGUUCACAGGCGAUUGGCAAUAUGAUACAUCUUUUUUAAAUAAAACGAAA